AUGUGAAUCCAUAAUAGAGGAGGAUAAAGCUCCUUAUGUUGCUAAAGCAGCUAAAUUGAAGACGGAGUACACCAAGAAAUUAGUUAUGUACAAUAAGAAUCAGACAUUGAGUGUUGUCCUGGAAUUCUGGAAAUCCUUCUCUCAUGUCCAGACAUUAGAGCUAUGUGAAAUUUUUAUUCUCUGGUUACAGUUCAUACAGUACUUACUACAAUUCUC